rnacentral:rRNA from 1 species
GAACGAGAAAGUGGAGCAAUCCAUGAGUACAGUGGCGACCGGGUGAGUAACACGUGACUACCUACCCUCGAGUGGGGAAUAACUCCGGGAAACCGGAGCUAAUACCGCAUAACAUCGCAAGAUCAAAGCAGCAAUGCGCUUGAGGAGGGGGUCGCGGCUGAUUAGCUAGUUGGUAGGGUAAUGGCCUACCAAGGCGAAGAUCGGUAUCCGGCCUGAGAGGGCGCACGGACACACUGGAACUGAAACACGGUCCAGACUCCUACGGGAGGCAGCAGUGGGGAAUUUUGCGCAAUGGGGGAAACCCUGACGCAGCAACGCCGCGUGGAGGAUGAAGGCCCUUGGGUCGUAAACUCCUUUCGACCGGGACGAUACUGACGGUACCGGUGGAAGAAGCACCGGCUAACUCUGUG